AGCGAACGCUGGCGGCAGGCCUAACACAUGCAAGUCGAACGAACCUUUCGGGGUUAGUUGCGGACGGGUGAGUACCACGUGGGAACGUGCCUUUAGGUUCGGAAUAACUCAGGGAAACUUGUGCUAAUACCGAAUGUGCCCUUCGGGGGAAAGAUUUAUCGCCUUUAGAGGGGCCCGCGUCUGGUUAGCUAGUUGGUUGAGGUAAUGGCUCACCAAGGCGGCGAUCAGUAGCUGGGCUGGGGGGAUGGUACGCCACAUUGGGGCUGAGACACGGCCCACAACUCGACGGGGGGGCGGCGGAGGGAAACCUGCGGGAUGGGCCAAAAGCCGGCAGCGCCCUGGCCGGGGGAAUGAGGAGGGCUUUGGAUUGUGAAAUUCCUUUACCCGGGGCGGAAAUGACGGUAACCGGAAGAGAAGCACCGGCUAACUUCGUG
rnacentral:rRNA from 1 species